rnacentral:tRNA from 1 species
CUUUCUGUGGCUCAGUGGUAGAACACAUGCUUUGCAUGUGCAGAAGGUCCCAAAUUCAAUCUCUUGGUAGGAAGA